rnacentral:lncRNA from 1 species
ACGAGGGAAGUCAUACAUACAUAUAUAUAACAUAUGGAAUCGACCAAAAAUUACAACAAGAUGGCAUUCUUCCCUCGUAGUGUUUAAUGAAUUUUUUUUUAUUGUUCGGUUUAUAUGUUGUCUAACUUAUUUUCAUCUUUAUAAUUUUUCAAACAUCACAAAAUUUAGAGGAUGCGGGUUUGAUGUUUCUGGCGAGAAUGAUCUUUUUCAUGAUAUUGGAUGUCUAAAUCCAUUUGCAAGCUCAUGACAUUAGCGAAACCAUUAAGGAUGAUAGUGUAACAUCCUAUCAAGACAAAGCAAAG